rnacentral:rRNA from 1 species
AGAGUUUGAUCAUGGCUCAGGACGAACGCUGGCGGCGUUAACACAUGCAAGUCGAACGAGAUCCAUUCAGUAGCAAUACUGAUGAAGAUCUAGUGGCGAACGGGUGCGUAACACGUGAGGAACUUGUCCCGGUCUCUGGGAUAACAGUUGGAAACGACUGCUAAUACCGGAUGACGUCGGAACUUCGCAUGGAGUACUGACGAAAGGGUUACUGGAUCGGGAGAGCCUCGCGGCCUAUCAGCUUGUUGGUGGGGUAACGGCCUACCAAGGCAUCGACGGGUAGCUGGUCUGAGAGGAUGAUCAGCCACACUGGGACUGAGACACGGCCCAGACUCCUACGGGAGGCAGCAGUGGGGAAUCUUGCACAAUGGGCGAAAGCCUGAUGCAGCAACGCCGCGUGCGGGAAGAAGGCCCUCGGGUUGUAAACCGCUUUCAGAAGGAACGAAACUGACGGUACUUUCAGAAGAAGGUGCGGCCAACUACGUGCCAGCAGCCGCGGUGACACGUAGGCACCAAGCGUUGUCCGGAUUUAUUGGGCGUAAAGAGCUCGUAGGCGGUUCAGUAAGUCGGGUGUGAAAACUUUGGGCUUAACCCAAAGCGUGCAUCCGAUACUGCUGUGACUUGAGUUCGGUAGGGGAGUGGGGAAUUCCUAGUGUAGCGGUGAAAUGCGCAGAUAUUAGGAGGAACACCGGUGGCGAAGGCGCCACUCUGGGCCGAAACUGACGCUGAGGAGCGAAAGCAUGGGUAGCAAACAGGAUUAGAUACCCUAGUAGUCC